UACGUAGGGUGCGAGCGUUGUCCGGAAUUAUUGGGCGUAAAGAGCUCGUAGGCGGUUUGUCGCGUCGACUGUGAAAACCUACAGCUUAACUGUGGGCUUGCAGUCGAUACGGGCAGACUUGAGUUCGGUAGGGGAGACUGGAAUUCCUGGUGUAGCGGUGAAAUGCGCAGAUAUCAGGAGGAACACCAAUAGCGAAGGCAGCUCGCUGGGACGUUACUGACACUGAGGCGCGAAAGCGUGGGGAGCGAACAGG
rnacentral:rRNA from 1 species